rnacentral:rRNA from 1 species
AUUGAACGCUGGCGGCAGGCCUAACACAUGCAAGUCGAGCGGAGCGGCGGACGGGUGAGUAAUGCCUAGGAAUCUGCCUGGUAGUGGGGGAUCACGUCCGGACACGGGCGCUAAUACCGCAUACUAUCAGAUGAGCCUAGGUCGGAUUAGCUAGUUGGGGGGGUAAAGGCCUACCAAGGCGACGCUCCGUAACGUGUCUGAGAGGAUGAUCAGUCACACUGGAAAUGAAACGCGGUACAGUCUCCUACGGGAGGCAGCGGUGGGGAAUAUUGGACAAUGGGCGAAAGCCUGAUCCAACCAUGCCGCGUGUGUGAAGAAGGUCUUCGGAUUGUAAAGCACUUUAAGUUGGGAGGCGUUACCAACAGAAUAAGCACCGGCUAACUUCGUGCCAGCAGCCGCGGUAAUAC